rnacentral:rRNA from 1 species
CCGGCGACCGGCGCACGGGUGAGUAACACGUAUGGAACCUGCCCGCAGCAGGGGGAUAAGCGGAAGAAAUUCCGUCUAAUACCGCGUAACAACGUUGGGAGGCAUCUCCCGAUGUUUAAAGAUUUAUCGGCUGCGGAUGGCCAUGCGGCGCAUUAGCUAGUCGGCGGGUAACGGCCCACCGAGGCGACGAUGCGUAGGGGUUCUGAGAGGAAGGUCCCCCCACACUGGUACUGAGACACGGACCAGACUCCUACGGGAGGCAGCAG